CCUACGGGAGGCAGCAGUAGGGAAUCUUCCACAAUGGGCGAAAGCCUGAUGGAGCAACGCCGCGUGGGUGAAGAAGGUCUUCGGAUCGUAAAACCCUGUUGUUAGAGAAGAAAGUGCGUGAGCGUAACUGUUUACGUUUCGACGGUAUCUAACCAGAAAGCCACGGCUAACUACGUGCCAGCAGCCGCGGUAAUACGUAGGUGGCAAGCGUUAUCCGGAUUUAUUGGGCGUAAAGGGAACGCAGGCGGUCUUUUAAGGCUGAUGUGAAAUCCUUCGGCUUAACCGGAGUAGUGCAUUGGAAACUGGGAGACUUGAGUGCAGAAGAGGAGAGUGGAACGCCAUGUGGAGCGGUGAAAUGCGUAGAUAUAUGGAAGAACACCAGUGGCGAAAGCGGCUCUCUGGUCUGUAACUGACGCUGAGGUUCGAAAGCGUGGGUAGCAAACAGGAUUAGAUACCCUUGUAGUC
rnacentral:rRNA from 1 species